rnacentral:rRNA from 1 species
GAUGAACGCUAGCGGCAGGCUUAAUACAUGCAAGUCGAGGGGCGAGCGAGGGGUCGUAGCAAUACACUCGCUGGCGACCGGCAAACGGGUGCGGAACACGUACGCAAUCUACCCAAAACUGGUGAAUAGCCCUCCGAAAGGAGGAUUAAUACACCGUAACUUAAGGAAGUGGCAUCACUAUCUUAAUAUAGCUCCGGCGGUUUUGGAUGAGCGUGCGCCUGAUUAGGUAGGUGGCGGGGUAACGGCCCACCAAGCCUACGAUCAGUAACUGGUGUGAGAGCACGACCAGUCAC